UCCAACAGAACACACCGGUAUAGCGCAGUACAGCCCGAUCAUUGAAGUUAAGCAAUGUCAGGCCCGGUCAGUACUUGGGAGGGUGACCACUUGGGAACACCGAGUGCUGUAGGCC